CUUAUAUGUGUGUAUAUAUAUAUAUAUAUGUGGAUGCCUUUAUGCUGUUGAUGUUUUUUUUCAUGGUCUCUCUAGGUUAGUAUUUCCUUAUCAGUUUUAAGUUCUGCAUCUCUACUUCAAAUAAGAUGAGAUGGAGUCCUUGAUUUCAGUUGCUAUAUGCUUCUCUUCAUCCUUCCCAACUAAACAUGGAGCUUUGUUGGAUACCAGCCCUCUUCUGGAAUCUUGCCAAAAGCAGGUGCUUCCUACAACACGUGAUGGCCUGUUUGAAAUAACAAAUUCUGUUAGGCAACAAUGGAGAAGAAAGAAAAACCAGAUACUGGGUGGGCAUUUUGGAUCACAGUAAUAUAAGGAAGCCUAAAGUUGUGUCUCUCGCCUAACUCCUCGGUGUCUCCAUAUCCAGAAAGGUGGAUGGAUCUCUCUUUGCAGUGACCAAGAAGGCAGAGUUCAUGGUGCACUUGGCAGACCUUGCUGGGUUGUUCACAGGUUAGAUAUGAGGAGGGUUCAUUACCCUGAAAUGAUGGUUUUCUGCUUUAAACUCAUUUGUGUUAAGGUAGGGAAAGAAUGAUUCUGCUACCAGGUCAAUCACCCCCAAUUCUCUUCUUGUUUCUUUUUAUACUUGGGCUCAAUUUCCUCCUUCUCCCCAGAGUUGACAUCUCAGUUAUAAGGAAAUCCAUAAAUUUUACUUCCUUUUAGAGCUGCCAAGGUUGUGUAUGGUUUGCUUUUUUUCAUGGUGAUCAGGGUGCUGUUGAGAGCAUUUGAACAGGCUUACAUACUCUCUUUUCUCUGCACAGAUAGCAAGGCUUUAUUCUGUAGCCUCUAUAAAGCCACAGAAAAGCUCCGUUUGUCAGUGAUGGAAAUUAGUGGAUACCUUUGUUCUCUCACUUUCUGCCAUGUAUCAGUUUUCUUAUGUGGGGUCAUAUUAUGGACUGAUUACAGGAUCAGAGCCUGUCUCCAUCUUAUUAGCAGAAGCUGUGGGAAAAGAAAGGAAUACAGAGAAAAGAAGCAACUGGAUAAGGCAAAUCUUUGCUCCUAAUCUGAGUAUUGUAUGUAAUGGCUGCCUGGGAAACGUGUGGUAGGAGAAAUUAAUGAUUCUGAAAUGAGAAAAACCUGGUAAGACAAUGUCUUCAAACCCAGCUCUGGAUGCUUCUGUAAAUCCUACAAAUCCCAGUGCAUCAAAGGUGCAGUAAAGGGGCCACUUUAUCCUCGAGUUUGUUGGUCUACUGGGAAACACUGCCAGCUCCUGAGAAGGCAGCACCUUGCGUUGUUCUACCUUACUCUGGCUCUCAGCCCAGUGUGGAGUCCCAGGGAGAGAGAGAAUUACCGCAACGCUUCAGGAAAGGAUAAACAAGCGGUAAGUGGAUGUUAACGUGGGCAAAGAGGACAGUGCGUCAGCAGAAUAAAAUGGCGUGAACAACUGACCUAAUGGUUACUACUACAAGAAAAGAAAAAUCUUGUGCAAAGGCUAGAGGUGGGAAAUCCGGAGAAUGCUUGUGAGCUGGAGGAAGGGAUUGAUCAGUACAUUUAUUUUUCUUGUUUGUUUUGUUUUGCAUGUAGGCAGGGGCCUCACAGUACUCUUGGAGAAUUUUAGUUGCUUCAGAUGAUGAGAUAAAUAGGGAAAGUGGUACUUGCACUGGGGGCACAUUGGAGUCCUUCCCUUUUUGUGAAAUUUCUUACUUUCUCUGGAUACAAAUUUAGCAGAAGGGAAAGCAAAAUAGAAGUGCCAGGCUGUGUCUGAAUGUCAUAAUAGAGGAGGUUUUCAAAGGUUCCGGUGAAUCAAAUAAGAUCACAGGUGCAUGCUCAAAUAGUGCUCAUGAAUUCCAGGCGGUUUAAUGAGGCUGCAUGCUGCACAAAUCAACUGCUAUGAUGUAUAAGAACAGGUCUAGACCAGAUUGCAGAAUUUUUAUUGUUAAAAAAGGCUGAAUUUUGGUUAUCACUUUCCCCUCUCUCUCUCUCUCUUUCUCUCUCUCUCUUCUUUUUUCCUGGGAUGCAAAUUCUUCAGACAUGAAGCUAAAUUUCAUAUGUCUGGGAGCUUCAUUCUCUUCUUGGAGACAUAAGACCAAGAGAAGGAUUAUGAAAAGUCUUUCCACCCAUACCUGCAG
ensembl:lncRNA